rnacentral:rRNA from 1 species
UGUUGGAACGGUACCCAAAGAAUAAGCACCGGCUAACUUCGUGCCAGCAGCCGCAGGUAAUAGGAAGGGUGCAAGCGUUACUGGGAAUUAGUGGGAGUAAAGCGUGCGUAGGUGGUUGUUUAAUUGUAAUUUGAAAGCCAAGUGUUCAACCUGGGAAUUGCAGUGGAUACUGGGCGACUAGACUGUGGUAGAGGGUAGUGGAAUUCCAGUAGUAGCAGUGAAAUGGGUAGAGAUCGGGAGGAACAUCCACGGCGAAGGCAGCUACAUGGACCAACAUUGACACUGAGGCAGGAAAGCGUGGGGAGCAAACAGGAUCAGAUACCGUGGUCGUGCUCGCCCUAAACGUUGCGAAUGGGAUGUUGGGUGCAAUGCGGCACGCAGUAUAGAAGAUAACGAGUUAAUUUCGCCGCCUGGGGAGUACGGUCGCAAGAAGGAAAAUCAAAGGAAUAGACGGGGGCCCGCACCACCGGUGGAGUAUGUGGUUUAAUUCGAUGCAACGCGAAGAACCUUACCUGGUCUUGACAUGUCGAGAACUUUCCAGAGAUGGAUUGGUGCCUU